GCUCAUCCCACUUCUGUGCUGUGAGUGGCAUAAUCUCUUAUUUCCUUUUUCAAUCAAGAAACCCUGACAUUUCCAACCACCACACAUGGGGUAAAUACGGUAGCACGGACCAAAACCGAAGGAUAUUUUCAAGCAAGCCAGUCUCUCAUGAACUUUUCAAGGCUCAGCUCGUAACCUUAGUUCCAGACGUAUACCUCUGACUGUUUCCAACAUGUUCCUGUUUUGUUUGUUUGGGUUUACUUGCCUUCGUUCUGCAGGAAGCCCUCACAGAUAUGACAGGGUGAUUUAAUUCUGCACAAACCUCGCCUCCCUCAGUUCUUAGAAUGAAGAUAGAUACCACUACCGGUAUUCUUAGAGUUAGACUUACACAGCCUCCCACACCAAACAGAGUGAAGCAGAACCCACAUUUCACUGGAAUCCUUACUUUUAGGUAUUUGCAGGUUUUUCUUUAUGACACAGGAAACCAAAUAUGAGGUACCAUUGCAGAUAGUAAUAAAUGGGCUUCUAAAAUGUUCCCAGUGGCUGGCAGAACAAUAACUGAUUUAUAUCCCAAAAGGGGCAAUACAUCUGACCCCUUACACUUUGUAAAGGAAAGGAAGAUUCUAGACACUCUUUUGUCAGGUGUUCAAAUUUAUUCAGGACAACAGAUUGUCAAAGCCAUCUUUGAAGGGACUGGCAAAAGUUUCUCCCUACACUCCCGCGUAUAAGACAGUCAAGAGCCAAAAAUGAUAGAGUUGGCAGUGGGCCAUGGGAUGGGAAAACAAAUCAAGCUCCAAAUUGAGCUUUGAAUGAAGGGGUCCAUUCCUAUGGAGCUAAUGAAUCCGCUGCAUCCUCAGCUCCAGCAGGCACGGGAUGUUUGAAACAAGCCAGGCAUAACCUGCACCAAAUGGGCAAUGUGCAGGCAGCAUUACGGAGCAGAAGUCAAGUGACAGGCUGGGGGGUCCACGGUCUUGAUGAUUUCUGCUCCUGCUGCUACGCUGAUAGCCAGUUUACUGACGUACACAUAGAGACCACUCUUAACCGCAGGCUGAAUUGUCCCUACCAAGCUAUCUGCACCUUGAGCAUAUAACAAACCAUUGUGAGAAAAGUU
rnacentral:lncRNA from 1 species